rnacentral:ncRNA from 2 species
GCCUCGGGCCGUGACUGGCGCGCUGGGAUGGGACCAACCAUCGGGGAGCGGCCCGCGAAGAACAAGUGCCGUGCGCCUGGGCCGUCCGU